UGACCUGCGGAAGGAUCAUUAAAGAAUCGCCCCGUUUUUUGAAAUGGGUUCUAUUCCCAAACCGUGUAUACAUACCUUUGUUGCUUUGGCAGGCCGCCUUUUAGGCGUCGGCGUCGGCUGACUGCGCCUGCCAGAGGACCCAAACUCGUUUGUUUAGUGAUGUCUGAGUACUAUAUAAUAGUUAAAACUUUCAACAACGGAUCUCUUGGUUCUGGCAUCGAUGAAGAACGCAGCGAAAUGCGAUAAGUAAUGUGAAUUGCAGAAUUCAGUGAAUCAUCGAAUCUUUGAACGCACAUUGCGCCCCUUGGUAUUCCGAGGGGCAUGCCUGUUCGAGCGUCAUUAUAACCACUCAAGCCUCGGCUUGGUCUUGGGGUUCGCGGUUCCGCGGCUCUUAAAAUCAGUGGCGGUGCCGUCUGGCUCUAAGCGUAGUAAUUCUCUCGCUAUAGGGUCCCGGCGGUUACCUGUCAAAACCCCCCCAUUUUUUACGGUUGACCUCGGAUCAGGUAGGGAUACCCGCUGAACUUAAGCAUAUCAAUAAGCGGAGGAAAAGAAACCAACAGGGAUUGCCUCAGUAACGGCGAGUGAAGCGGCAACAGCUCAAUUUGAAAUCUGGCUCUUUCAGGGUCCGAGUUGUAAUUUGUAGAAGAUGCUUUGAGUGUGGCUCCGGUCUAAGUUCCUUGGAACAGGACGUCAUAGAGGGUGAGAAUCCCGUACGUGACUGGGUGCCUUCGCUCGUGUAAAGCUCUUUCGACGAGUCGAGUUGUUUGGGAAUGCAGCUCAAAA
rnacentral:rRNA from 1 species